rnacentral:lncRNA from 1 species
UACCAUGAAAAGCGGAUCAUUAUUCAUUUAAUUCUGUAUAACUGAGGUCCAGUGAAAGGGGAAAAGAUAUGCAAGGACUCGUCAUCGUGUGCACCUCUGGAUCCCACGUCUAGAGGGACACGAGGAAAUUAAAACACAUUCAGAAGACAUUGACCAGAUGAUGUGUGAGUCAUGAAACCAGACUGGCCCUGAGCUAACAUCCGCGCCCAUCUUCCUCUACUUUUUAUAUGUGGGAUGUCUACCACAGCAUAGCUUGCCAAGCAGUGCCAUGUCUGCACCCAGGAUUCGAACUGGCGAACCCCAGGCUGCUGAAGCAGAACAUGUGCACGUGACCUCUGUGCCACCAGGCCGGCCCCUGAUAUGCUUUUAAACAUUACAUGAUCUCCAUUUGUUGUUUGAAUCAUUGUAAACCUGUGUCCGUGUAUUUCUUAUCCAUACAUAUUUAUUUAUUUAUUUAUUUUUUUAAAGAUUUUUUUUUUAUUUUUUCCUUUU